GUCUUUUUAAGAUAUUUUAAUCUUUAUGUCUUUUAAACAUAAAAAGCUUUUUAGCAUUAGACC
rnacentral:tRNA from 1 species